AGUACAGACGUCGCCGUUCCCGAUGGGGCAACGGCUAUCAUCCAGAUCACACAAACAGGAGCUAACCCCCGGCACCUCGGCUCAUUUUUAAUUGCUCCCGCUACAUAACGCGCGUAACUCAACAGAGGCGUGGAAGCUGCCAGCAUCAUUAGUAACAAAAUCACUUAUUCCCUGUCGCUCACCCAGUCGCACUUCAUUCCAUCUUUUAUUUUUUUCUUCUCUUCGCUGCAAACACACAACUCGAGUUGCUACAACAACGGGGAAUCACAGCGGCUUCGGGGAAACAAUCAUUCGCAGACAUGGCCUGAAGCAACCCGAGGGCGUGGAAAAAUUUUUUUUUAUACGACUUGAGUGCAAGUUCAGAGCGGUGUGUGUGUUUGUGACUCCACUAAAGAUUUUGCUGUGAUAGCACAGGUACGAAAUGAAAAAUCAAUCAUAAACAAAUUUAACACCAGCUUACUUUUGUACCUUUGCUGAUUUCAUGAAUAGAAAACUUAUGAUGGUCUGUCACCUCUAAAAAUGAGCAGAAUGAGGUGACUAAACAAGCAAUCUCAGAUUCGAAGAAAUAUGCGAGAAUAUCACUCAAAACAGUCGCUUGAAAAUGGAUUUCAACAAGGAGACGUCCAAAUUGAAAAAGUGCGGACUAGGUGAAACAUGGCGGGGCAACCUGAGACGGCGUGAUGUCACACCUCUCAAAUAGAAAGGUAAUUAGCACCAACACACCACUCACGUUCGCACGUAACAUUUGUCCACAUGAAGAGACAAUAAAAUUCACACCCCUGCCUGGAACCGAAAGAAUACAAUUAUAAAAAAGGUGUAGACGACUGAUGCAUAGCGAGGAGGGAAGCCUCGUGUCGGCGAGGAGGGAAGCUACAUUUGGAAAAGGGUGCGAUCAUCAACAGCUUAGAGUCUUCCUAAUCACGAAGAUUGCACCUAUGACUCAGUGCUUCUGUCACCUUCUCGCACGGCACAACGGAUUUCAAAGUAGCGGUGGGUGGAGGCGGCUGUGCUCAACCUUAAAGUAACAAUAUGCUGUUUGACCUUAUCGCACAGCAGUUUUAUAUCAAUUCUAGCUCGAGUGGAACCUCGUGAUUUGAAGGGAAUCGACUGUUUAAGAAUGGACAGCCUGUUACUUAUACAACUCUAUUUGGCAUAUUUAUUUCCUGCUCAUCAGCGACGAGCGAGACACAAAAGCGAACCGGCUCUCCUGCUGCGGAAUCUUUGAAUGCUCCGCUGGGAAAUUGAUUGUUUCCGAGAAUUUAGCCCGGCCCUUUCAUCUUUUUUUUUCCCCCCAAUUGACUCCAGAUUGAUUGCCGGCUCCUUCCUGUUGCUUCAAGUAAAGUUCACAUCGUCUGUGGUUAAAAAGAGCAAAAUGAUGUGCGGACCACGCAAAGAAUGUCCUUGCUGCGUUUAUUGAUAAUUUUCCUGAGACAAAAUGCAAAUGUAGCUCUAGUAAAAAUAAUUCCUAAAUAUUAUUUAAAAUACCAAGUAAGGGUGUUGCUGCUAUGGAUACUCAUGAGAGACAAACUUAGCAAAUAAAUCACACUUACUUUUUUUCCACUUGAAGGAAUACUGGAAGUCAUUUGUGAUGGUAUUUUACUUGCAUCUCCGCUGAACAAAUUGGGAAUCGGCUUACAAAGUGUUGUCUCUGAAAUAGACAAUAAUUGUGUUGUGUUAUCUGAAGUUAAUUCAGAAACUAAGCUGUUGUUUCCCAUUUAUCAAGUUGUUCUGUCUUUCAUUUGACUUUGUUUCCUUAUCGCUUCCCGCAGGUCAGCGACUAAAGUGCUCCCUGCGUGCAUGUCAUCACAAAACUAUCACGGGCGCUCAAAGUAGCCCAAGGCGCGCUUUUGAUCAAACCGCAAGUGUGAUGAGAACACCUGCAGGUGCGCCUUGCACCACAGCAGGGAGGAUCAAGUGCAAUCUGAGAUACAAAAAAAUGCACAGGCGACAGGGGAAAAUAUACUUUUCAGAAAGGAAAUGGGUCCAGCCAUCCGUCGAUUUUUGAUAGCGCUUAUCCCGUUUGGCACUGCAGGGAGUAACAACUACCCGACGGCUAUUGGAACACAUGG